GUCAGUGUGUGUUACCUGUACAGGUGGUUCUAUGUGGAUCCAGUCAGUGUGUGUUACCUGUACAGGUGGUUCUAUGUGGAUCCAGUGAGUGUGUGUUACCUGUACAGGUGGUUCUAUGUGGAUCCAGUCAGUGUGUGUUACCUGUACAGGUGGUUCUAUGUGGAUCCAGUCAGUGUGUGUUACCUGUACAGGUGGUUCUAUGUGGAUCCAGUCAGUGUGUGUUACCUGUACAGGUGGUUCUAUGUGGAUCCAGUCAGUGUGUGUUACCUGUACAGGUGGUUCUAUGUGGAUCCAGUCAGUGUGUGUUACCUGUACAGGUGGUUCUAUGUGGAUCCAGUCAGUGUGUGUUACCUGUACAGGUGGUUCUAUGUGGAUCCAGUCAGUG